UUAAGUUCAGCGGGUAUUCCUACCUGAUCCGAGGUCAACCUUUGGUUAAAGAUGGGGUCUUUAACGGCAGGAGCAGGCCACACCUCCCUAGCGAGAUAACGAAUUACUACGCUCGGAGUUGUAGCGAGCCCGCCACUUCCUUCAGGCCGUACGUCAGACGUAGGGCCCCAACACAAGCAGAGCUUGAGGGUUGAAAUGAC
rnacentral:misc_RNA from 1 species